GAUGAGGACUCUUCGGUGU
rnacentral:piRNA from 1 species